CGCGUAGGUGGUAGUGCAAGUCUGGGGUGGAAUCCUAUGGCUUAACCAUAGAAUUGCCCUGGAAACUGUAUUACUUGAGUCAGUGAGGGGAGGGUAGAAUUCCUGGUGUAGCGGUGAAAUGCGUAGAUAUCAGGAGGAAGGCCUGUGGCGAAGGCGGCCCUCUGGCGCUGAACUGACACUGAGGCGCGAAAGCGUGGGGAGCAAACAGGAUUAGAUACCCUGGUAGUCCACGCCCUAAACGGUGGGCACUAGGUGUGGGGCUCGUAAGGGUUCUGUGCCGAAGCGAAAGCAUUAAGUGCCCCGCCUGGGGAGUACGGCCGCAAGGUUGAA
rnacentral:rRNA from 1 species